AUGGCGGAGUUGGUGGUCACCAUGGCGAUCGAGCCAUUGGUGUCCAAGCUGUUGGACAAGGCAUCCAGCAACCUCCUGGACCAGUACAAUGUGAUGGAGGGAAUGGAGGAGCAGCAAAAGACUCUCAAACGCAAGCUUCCGGCCAUCCUUGACAUCAUCGCCGAUGCCGAGGAGCAGGCCACGGCACACAGAAAAGGUGCUAAAUCCUGGCUCCAGGAGCUCAAGACGGUGGCCUAUGAGGCGAAUGAAGUGUUCGAUGAAUUCAAGUACGAAGCAUUCCUCCGUGAAGCAAAGAAAAAGGGCCACUACAAAGAGCUUGGCUUCGAUGUGAUAAAACUCUCCCCUGCUCACAACCAUGUUGCAUCCCGUUACAAAAUGGGUCGCAAGCUUUGCCUGAUUCUACAAGCCAUUGAGGUCCUCAUAGCAGAGAUGCAUGUCUUUGGGUUCAAGUAUCAACCGCAGCCGCCGGUGUCCAAGGAGUGGAGGCAGACCGAUUAUGUUAUCACCGACCCGCAAGAAAUUGCCAGCAAAUCUAAAGACAAAGAUAAGGCGGAAAUUGUUGGUACACUACUUCGUCAAGCUAAUAAUGCAGAUCUCGCAGUGGUUGCCAUCGUUGGGAUGGGGGGCAUUGGUAAGACCACAUUAGCACAACUCAUAUAUAAUGAACCUGGAAUUCAGAAGCAUUUCCAGUUGUUGUUGUGGGUAUGUGUCUCUGAUACCUUUGGUGUGAACUCCCUGGCCAAGAGUAUAGUUGAAGCAUCUCCCAAGAAAAAUGAUGAUACAGACAAACCACCACUAGAGAGACUUCAGAAAUUGGUCAGCGGGCAGAGGUAUCUCCUUGUAUUGGAUGAUGUCUGGAAUAGAGAGGUCCAUAAGUGGGAAAGGCUGAAGGAUCAUCUUAAGCAUGGUGGCAUGGGUAGUGCGGUGCUAACGACAACUCGUGAUAAAGGAUUUGCUGACAUUAUGGGUGCAGAUACCCACCUUCUCAGUGGUUUGGAGGAUAGAUUCUUAAGGGAAAUUAUUGAGGCUGCAGCAUUCAGUUCCGAGAAAAAAAGCCUCCUGAGCUAG
rnacentral:rRNA from 1 species